AAGUGAUGCUUACUUGUAUAUUCCAAUUCUGCCCAGUCACAAUACCUGACUAGCAAGUGUGUCAAUUUUUUUUUGCUUACAGGGCUGAUGUCAAAGAAGAAAUUUUGUGCUGAUAAUUGAGGUUAGUAUUCUGCUGUUCCCUCUGAAUUGAGCUGAUCUUCCAAUUGCAGUCAAGAGAUGAAUCAAGGAACAUGAUCUGCCCAUGCUACUUAUGAAUUUAGAUUGAUUACGGUUCAUUUCUUUGUCAUGCAAAUGUCUCAUCACAUGUCAUUUUUGUUGGUCGAAAUGCAGUCUCCUUAUUACACCUGUUACAGACUGUCAGGUUCUAGUGUCAACUAAAAAUUUAUUUGUGAAAUGGCUGCAUGUAUUCAUGUGGGGUGGCUAUUUACAUUCAAGUAUGGCUAUUUACUUGUAUGUUUGUUCGUGUGAAAUGAAAAGACUAUUACUUGUAUGGCUAUUAUUUGAUA